rnacentral:lncRNA from 1 species
CGUAGCGCAUUAGGGGCAAAGGCUUCGGAUUGCGCUCACAGGGGAAACAAUGGGCUGGAAUUUGAGAAAACAAACCCAAGAUGUUAAUUAGACGCUAAGGCACUCGGGGCACUUUGCAAAUAUUAACAUAGCCUACUUGCAAACUCCCGAGGGCUGGGACUUCGUUAUUUGUUUGACUUGCGUGGAUCGCAGAGAAAACCAUCUAUUUUAAAGAGGAACAAGGCUGAUCCCCCUCUUUCCGUGAUACUGUGCCUGGAAGUCUCUCACACCACUUUUCUGUAG